GAGCCAUUAGCUCAGUUGGUAGAGCACCUGACUUUUAAUCAGGGUGUCGGGGGUUCGAGUCCCUCAUGGCUCA
rnacentral:tRNA from 1 species